CUUGCUUAAUAUAAGAGGUCCAGCCUGCCCAGUGAAAAUUUAACGGCCGCGGUACCCUGACCGCGCGAAGGUAGCAUAAUCACUCGUUCUUUAAAUAGGGACUUGUAUCAAUGGCAUCACGAGGGUCGCACUGUCUCCUCCCCCUAAUCAGUGAACCUGAUCUCUCCGUGAAGAAGCGGGGAUGAAAAUAUAAGACGAGAAGACCCCAUGGAGCUUUAAACCCAAAGCAAUAUAAUCAAAUAAAUCCUCAUAUAAUUUAAGUAUGCAUAACGGCUUUAGGUUGGGGUGACCGCGGGGCAAAAACAAACCCCCACAACGAAAAGAAAUAAACCUUUAUUUAAGAGUUACUACUCUAAGAAUUAGCACACUAACGAACAAUGACCCGAUAAUCGAUCAAUGGACCA
rnacentral:rRNA from 1 species